rnacentral:rRNA from 1 species
UGCGGUGGUUUUGGCGGAGGGGAAACACCCGGUCUCAUUCCGAACCCGGUCGUUAAGCCCUCCUGCGCUGAUGGUACUGCCCUGUGGUGGGGUGGGAGAGUAGGUCGCCGCCGCGC